UGCCAGCCGCCGCGGUAAUACGGAGGGGGUUAGCGUUGUUCGGAAUUACUGGGCGUAAAGCGCGCGUAGGCGGAUUGGAAAGUUAGAGGUGAAAUCCCAGGGCUCAACCCUGGAACUGCCUUUAAAACUCCCAGUCUUGAGUUCGAGAGAGGUGAGUGGAAUUCCGAGUGUAGAGGUGAAAUUCGUAGAUAUUCGGAAGAACACCAGUGGCGAAGGCGACCACCUGGUACAGUACUGACGCUGAGGUGCGAAGGCGUGGGUAGCAAACAGGAUUAGAAA
rnacentral:rRNA from 1 species